GACGGAGGAUGCAAGCGUUAUCCGGAAUGAUUGGGCGUAAAGCGUCCGCAGGUGGCAGUUCAAGUCUGCUGUCAAAGACCGGGGCUUAACUUCGGAAAGGCAGUGGAAACUGAACAGCUAGAGUAUGGUAGGGGCAGAGGGAAUUCCUGGUGUAGCGGUGAAAUGCGUAGAGAUCAGGAAGAACAUCGGUGGCGAAGGCGCUCUGCUGGACCAUAACUGACACUCAGGGACGAAAGCGUGGGUAGCAAGCAGG
rnacentral:rRNA from 1 species